rnacentral:rRNA from 1 species
AUACGGAGGGUGCAAGCGUUAUCCGGAAUCAUUGGGUUUAAAGGGUCCGUAGGCGGGCAAUUAAGUCAGAGGUGAAAUCCCACAGCUCAACUGUGGAACUGCCUUUGAUACUGGUUGUCUUGAGUUAUAGUGAAGUAGAUAGAAUGUGUAGUGUAGCGGUGAAAUGCAUAGAUAUUACACAGAAUACCGAUUGCGAAGGCGCCUAACUGGUCCGGUACUGACGCUGAGGAACGAAAGCGUGGGGAGCAAACAGGAUUAGAAACCCCUGUAGUCC